rnacentral:tRNA from 1 species
GCUGAUUUAGCUCAGUUGGUAGAGCAAUUGAUUCGUAAUCAAUGGGUCGGAGGUUCGAGCCCUCUAGUCAGCA